ACUUUACUCACCAUUGAUAUUGCGAUAAAUGGUUAGUUUCAACUACCAAUAACAGCUUUAAAGCCUAAAACAAGUAAACAACCACGCACCAAAACAAAAAUUCCUAUUAAUAAAACUUAAAAACUACUUACUUCAAUGGCGACUCCUCCCUAUAGCCUGGCAUUGAUCAUCAAAAACCCUUCAAAUGAAUCCGAAUUCCUACUUGUUAAACAAAACCCACCUCCUAAAUUCAACGAUCCUGAGUAUGACUCUUUCUUGGAUUCCCCUCUCUGGGAUUUGCCUUCUGCACAGUUAUUACCUCUUGAUUCUCCUUCUGAUAAUCAGAUUGUAAUUCAAGUCCCUGAAUCUUGUUCUCAUGAGCUUGACUUAACUAAAUUUGAUCUUAAUUCAGCUCUCCUUAAGGUUCUAAAGCAAGUGGAAUUAGAGGAUACCACAGUUGAGUGGAAGUUCCUGAAGUAUGUACAGGAGCCUGAAUUUGGACCAGGAUUGCCCGUAAAGACAGUCUACAUCACUGGAACUUUGGGUCCUAAAGAUGGCAAAUUGACGGAUGUUGAGUUCCGCAAGUGGAUGAGCACCGAUAAAUGCGUUAGUAUGCUUGUUGAAGUGAAGCCUUGUAGUGACCGUGUAGGAUCAUUGGUGGUUGUUGGUCUUCUGAAUGAUUCAAAGAAAUCUGAUGAGACUUGGAAAGUUCCACAGACCUUGCGGUUUCAGGAGUACCCUCCUGGUGUUAAAGUUAUACCUAUGGAAAGUAGAACAGCUAAGCCUUUUCGCACAACAAACUUAAUUGUUUUCCUGCCUGGAGGCAAUGAUAGUGGUUGCGAUGAUAGUUUUGUUGCCCAUGGGGAAGCACUCAUAGUAGACCCCGGAUGCAAGUCUGCUUCAUAUGAACAGCUCAAGGAAAUCAUUGCUGCUUUGCCGAGAAAGUUAGUCGUCUUUGUGACACAUCAUCAUAACGAUCAUGUUGAUGGUCUUUCAGUAGUGCAGAAGUGCAGUCCUGAUGCUUGUCUUUUGGCUCAUGAAAAUACGAUUCAUCGAAUUAGAAAAGAUGAUUGGUCUCUCCCGUGUGUUCCAGUUUCUGGAUCUGAGGAAAUUUGCAUUGGCAGUCAGAGAUUAAGAGUUAUCUUUGCACCGGGGCAUACAGAUGGACAUAUGGGACUGCUUCAUGUUAGUACAAACUCGUUGAUUGUCGGGGAUCAUUGUGUGGGCCAAGGAAGUGCUCUUUUAGAUAUUGCGUCCGGUGGAAAUAUGAGGGAUUACUUUGAGACAACAUACAAAUUCAUUGAGCUCUCUCCUCAUGCUUUGAUUCCAAUGCAUGGAAGAAUUAAUAUGUGGCCAAAACACAUGCUCUGUGGGUAUCUCAAAAACCGGAGAUACAGAGAAUCAACCAUCUUAAAGGCCAUAGAGAAUGGCGCCAAAACGUUGUUUGAUAUAGUUGCUUACACUUAUGCCGAAGUUGACCGAAGCCUCUGGUUUUAUGCCUCAUCAAAUGUGAGACUCCACGUGGAUCAUCUAGCACUGCAGGACAAGUUACCAAAUGAUUUUUCGAUCCAAAAUUUUCAAGCAACUUGUGGUUUGCGUUUCCUUUUAAGGUGGCUAUUCGAAUACUCAAGUAGUGCAUUCUCAAUAAAGCAUCACACGAUUAGAGCGGCUUUACUAGUUGGUACUGUGGCCGUGGCCACCGGUUGCUUGGCUGUAUCAUUCUCCACAAAGAAACAAACUUUUUCUAGGUGAUGCAAAGAAUUCUUUCUCCAGAAAGCAGAGUUUAUUAAGGAAGUUAAUACCGGCUGGCUCCAGGUCAUCCUCUCUCUCAAUGUACCAGUAGUUCUAAGAGAAGGGUGCCUGCUAUUUCAUCGACGAGUGCAUUUUUCAUUAGCGGUGCCUAUUGUUUCAUGGAUGGUGAGCAUCAAGCGCACUAAUUAUAUAUAGUAUCUUCCUUCUCUUUUCACUUUUUAGGAUCAAUGCAUAUUCCUGAUGUAAUUCUGCACAUUAAGUUGUUCAGCUCCUUUCUUUGCAACUUUUAUUAACCAUUUCAUGUGGCUUGCUACAAUAUUUGUCAUUUUAAUCACAGAGGAUUUUUGCA